rnacentral:lncRNA from 1 species
CGAACAUAAUAGACUACAUAAUGAACUGAAAAAGUAAACUGAACAAUGCAAAAGAUAAAUAUUCAAACACAAUUAAGACUAUUAAAUUGCAACGCUUGAGCUAAAAGUUAAAUGCUAUCCAUCACCAAAUCAACACUUUAAAAAUGCUUGAACAAUAAAAUUAUAUAAAAUGAGUAAGCUACUACCUUGAAUGAUUUCCAAUAUAUAAUGUAAACUAAAUCUCAGUUCAUACGCGUAAAGACACAAAACAUGGAAACCUCUUCGCGCUUUUCCUUUUUUUUUUUUCCUUUGACGAAACAACCAUGUGCACAUCCAGCUUAAAAUGAAAAUAAGCUUCUAAAAUUAAUUCCUCUCCCAACUAUAUAUAUCUCACCGCGUGCUUUUAAAGAAAAAGGAUGAAAAUGGGUUUCUCCAAUUACAUCACCGCUUGUGCACACUUGUCAAAGAAAAUUCCGCCUUCGUGCUCCAAAUUGAAAUCAUCGUCACUUUUUCUUAAAAUAAAAUGAAUGUUCCCUAUGCAACACUUCUCUUUAAUUUAAAGCAAGAUAAAUGAAAUGGAUAGUUUACUACAUUCUAAAAGAAAACCGAAUGAGCUACUUAAAUUCCAGACCAUAACUGUUGCUGCUCCACACCAGGCCGUGAGCUAUUCUUCUCCUAUUCCAUUCAUUCUCGUCGUUGUGAGCACUCCUCAUGAAAGAUGAUUCUCCCUCCUUUAUAUAUGGUGGCUGUCUUCCUUCCAGAUGUGUGUGUGCGGCUUCUCAAAUUCAAAGAAGUGCUGUUGCCCUACGUACUAGAUACUCCCUUGGACGUCCAUGGGCCCCGUUGCACCAGCCUUCACCGUUUGCACCUCCCAAACCCAACUACUGUUGCUUUCUACAGGACCGUGUGUGUGGAUGCACAAGCUGGACGGAAGCUGCUGGUGGGCCGUGCUUCCAAGUUGCUACCCAAACUAUGCUGGAACGUGGAGUUUAAAUGAAGAUGUUUAAUUCCUUCCGUGCUGCUGGAUACUUUGAUGUUGUGCAGCCCAAUGAAUCCAAUCUCCUAGUGGGUGGCGUGCUUCUUUUGUGUGGGUCGUGAAUGUUCUUUCUCCAAAUGGAUAUGCAGCAACGUUGCCCCCUAAGGUCCAAUUGAAUAAUAAAAAGAAUGAAAGUGUGACUUUGAUUUCAGCACGUGACUUCCAGCUACAUUGAUUGCAGGGCUUCUACAAGAAAUAGAAUUGAAUUCAAUGUGUAGGUGGGCCUGUCCAUUGCUCCAAAUGGUCGUGACACACACAACCCAUUUCUAAUCACCAUGAGAGUUUCUUCUUUUUUUUCUUUUUCUCAGCUGGACCUUUUGCCUUUUUACUGAAUCCGCACCUCAUUUUUCUUUAAUGACAAAUGUGCCUCCAAAUAUUAAUUGCCAAGGGUAUUGUUAGAUGCUCUCUAAACCCAAAUAAAAAUGAAAUGCAAGUGUGUGGUGACUGAUGAGUCGAUAGUUUCUUGACUUUGCUUAGUUUAUUAUGCUAGAAUUAAUCAGGGAAUUGUGCUUAAUUGUCCAGUAUUUUCCCGUUUCUGUUAAUUAUGCUUAAUUUGACCGG